rnacentral:rRNA from 1 species
UGUGUAUUAGAGUAAGUACAAGUCGUAACUACGUCUCCAGUAGGUGAACNUGCGAUCGGAUCAUUACAGCAUAAGCUUGAUGGGUUGUAGCUGCUCUUUCGGGAGCAUGUGCACGCCCGUCACGUUUAUCUUUCCACCUGUGCACCUUUUGUAGACUUGGGAUUAAAAUUAUCUGAAGGCCUUGAAAAAGCCCUUCAGUCUGAGGGUUUGCUGUGCCCAUCACUGGGUCAGCUUCCUUCGUGGUUCCAAGCCUACGUCUUUCAUAUACCCCAUAGCAUGUCUCAGAAUGUAUUCAAAGGCUCUGAGUGCCUAUAAAGAUUUAUACAACUUUCAGCAACGGAUCUCUUGGCUCUCGCAUCGAUGAAGCACGCAGCGUAAAUGCGAUAAGUAAUGUGAAUUGCAGAAUUCAGUGAAUCAUCGAAUCUUUGAACGCACUUUGCGCUCAUUGGUAUUCCGAGGAGCAUGCCAUGUUUGAGUGUCAUUAAAUUCUCAACAUUAUCAUCCUUGAUGGCAAGGCUUGGACUUGGGGGUUUCAUUUUGCAGGCUUCAACCUUUUUUGAAGUCGGCUCCCCUUAAAUGAAUUAGCCGGAAAACCCUUGUGGACCCGUCUAUUGGUGUGAUAAUUAUCUACGCCGCAGGAUGGGACUGCCCUUUUGUAAUGGGAUUUCUGCUUCCAACCGUCUUUUGGGACAAUCAUUUGACCAUUUGACCUCAAAUCGGUGAGACUACCGUUAC